UUCAUCAACUUCUCUCCAAGGAAAGAAACCCAUCGCCAAGCUCCAUUUCCAAACAUUUCUUUAUCAACUUUUUUAAGAGGAAAUCGAAGGGAGAAAGUUGAGAGAAGAAGAAGAGAUCUGAAAGAUUUAGGGCUGGAGAAGUUCAAGUUUUCAAGAGGAAAUCAACACAUAAUGCAAUUUUCGUAUCAUUCAGCGCAUCUCUAGUUUUGUUUUCUUUUUUUAUUGAUUUUGAGCUGCACAAAAGGAGUUAGAAGCUUGAUUUAGAAAGACGUUUCAAUUUCUAACAAAUUUUAUGAAGGAUGCUUGCGCUAAUUAUGAUAUUAAGGGGUUUAAUUUUGAAGGAGAAUACAACCUAUUCAGCUCUGGGUGCGAAUCCGAGUAAUCUCUGGUUUUUUUAGUAGCUUAUAGUGUAGAAGAGGCGUUUGAAGCUCCAAUUGGUGAAAAUUCGGGUGGAAGCUGAGGGAUUGCUGGAAUUUGCAUUUUGGAGUACGUUCUGUUACGAGGAAAAUCUAGGCACAUCGGUUGAGAAUUAGGUCUUUAUGUCUUCAAGUAACUUGUAGAGUACUUAAAACUUUAGUGUUUGACAUAAAGUUCACUUAAUGUGGUUAAGAAUUGAGUAAGUUAUGAGCUACUGAAACUAGGUUGUGAAGAGUUUAAUUAUGUUCUUUAAGUUGGAAGUUGAAAAUGAUAUCUUUUGUAUGCUAUAGUUUGUAUGUCAUGUAAUGACUAGAAAACUUAGGGUUUUUAUAAUAGGCACCUCAAGAGUUCUAAUUUA